rnacentral:rRNA from 1 species
AUUGAACGCUGGCGGCAGGCCUAACACAUGCAAGUCGAACGAGUGGCGGACGGGUGAGUAAUGUCUGGGAAACUUCCUGAUGGAGGGGGAUAACUACGGGAAACUGUAGCUAAUACCGCAUACCAUCGGAUGUGCCCAGGUGGGAUUAGCUAGUAGGUGGGGUAACGGCUCACCUAGGCGACUAUCCCUAGCUGGUCUGAAAGGAUGACCAGCCACACUGGAACGGAGACACGGGCCAGACUCCUACGGGAGGCAGCAGUGGGGAAUAUUGCGCAAUGGGGGCAAGCCUGAUGCAGCCAUGCCGCGUGGAUGAAGAAGGCCUUCGGGUUGUAAAGUACUUUCAGCGGGGAGGCGUUACCCGCAGAAGAAGCACCGGCUAACUCCGUGCCAGCAGCCGCGGUAAUAC